rnacentral:tRNA from 1 species
GUCCUUGUGGCGGAACUGGUAGACGCGCUAUCUUGAGGGGGUAGUGGCCUUUUGGCUGUAUGAGUUCAAAUCUCAUCAAGGACACCA